AUUGAACGCUGGCGGCAUGCCUUACACAUGCAAGUCGAACGGCAGCACGGGAGCAAUCCUGGUGGCGAGUGGCGAACGGGUGAGUAAAGUAUCGGAACGUGCCCAGUCGUGGGGGAUAACGUAGCGAAAGUUACGCUAAUACCGCAUACGAUCUAUGGAUGAAAGCGGGGGAUCGCAAGACCUCGCGCGAUUGGAGCGGCCGAUAUCAGAUUAGGUAGUUGGUGGGGUAAAGGCUCACCAAGCCGACGAUCUGUAGCUGGUCUGAGAGGACGACCAGCCACACUGGGACUGAGACACGGCCAGACUCCUACGGGAGGCAGCAGUGGGGAAUUUUGGACAAUGGGCGAAAGCCUGAUCCAGCCAUGCCGCGUGCAGGAUGAAGGCCUUCGGGUUGUAAACUGCUUUUGUACGGAACGAAAAGGUUUGGCCUAAUAAGCUGAGCUCAUGACGGUACCGUAAGAAUAAGCACCGGCUAACUACGUGCCAGCCGCCGCGGUAAAAC
rnacentral:rRNA from 1 species